UAUUCCUGAGGGAGCGGUAAAAUGUGAUAAUCUCAGGAGGACCACCGAUGGCGAAGGCAGUCUACUAAUAUGGAUCCGACGGUGAGGGAUGAAAGCUAGGGGAGCGAUCCGGAUUAGAUACCCGAGUAGUCCUAGCCGUAAACGCUGCAUGCCAGAUGUUACACAAUCUUCGAGAUUGUGUAGUGUCGAAACGAAGGUGUUAAGCAUGCCACCUGGGAAGUACGGUCGCAAGGCUGAAACUUAAAGGAAU
rnacentral:rRNA from 1 species